AUGCUUAGCUGCCUAUAAAGCUGUAACAGUUUAGCUCAACCCCUCUGAGUGGGAAAUAUGGUUAGCCUCUGUAGUGUCCAUGUGGAAGUCCUGACCUCGCUUGCAGACUUGACCUCUGGAGAUAAAAAGUUCUUCAUCUGAGAAAUGAGCUAGGUUCAUCUUCCUUGGACAUUCUAGCAUCCUUAACUUUCGGUCCAGCAAGCACAAGAGCUGAAUCAGCGAAUAGAGUGAACGAACACUCAGGAUGAGAUGGCUGCUGCUGAUGGGUCUGUCUCUCUAGGUCAUUACCUCUCUUCCAACUGCAAAUGCUGCAUGAUACUAAGCUUACAGAAUUCAGAAGCACAAGUCAUGAAAGAAUUCUGCUGAGAAGACCAUGAUGAAACCUUUCCAAUUACAGAAAUAUAUCCUGCACAACUUCAUCAAGCCAAUGAAUCAUACAAAUUUGGUCAAACCAGGAUGAAGAGCAACAGAUAUGUUUGGAAGUGACUAUGUCCAGCAUCAACAACAAAGUAUAGUAAGCCUUAAUGCCAAAUGUGCAGGUAAAUGACACUAAAGUUCAGUCCUUGUGAGAAAGUAAUCUGUGCAAGUAAUUGCACCAUUUUUGUAAAUAAUGAGAAAGUUCAAUGUUACUCUAAUGAUAAAGGAAUAAGGAAAAUGAAACAUUUCAGGUUUAUCUGACAACCACCUAGACCUACUCAGAGUACAUACUUCUUUAUGUACCCAUAUGAACAUACAAUGCUAUGGAAUGUAAAGAAGUAUGUAUUUUUGGUAGGUGAUAAACCACCAAGGGGGAAGGAACUAGACUGCGCCGGGAAAGCAAAAUUUCUUUUGGAAUAACCUUCAUGUGGCAAAUUAACCUGGCAAGAAAGAGGACAUUUUUUAGUAUUGCCACAAUAAAAUGUGAAAUAAAAUAUUCCAUUCCAAAGACACUGAAUGUAUUUAAUGUGGAGGAAGAAAGAUUUCUGUUGAGAAAAAGGUAAAGAAAAGUAUGAGUAUUUUGGUUCAUUUUCUUCCAUUUUAAAGCAUGCUUUCUCAUUUUAAAUCCUUUUUAAAAACAAGAAAGAUUCAGAGUGAGUAAGGUGACUAAAACUUGAGAGCAAAAAAAGAGAGUGUCAUCUUAGCACAAAAAGAAGAAAACACAGCUUACUUUCAAAUCUGGUAUCUACCAAUAAUAUUUUGAUUCAACUAUUACAUUUUAAUCAAGGUAUGUCACAUUAGUAAGAUUUUUUUUUUGAUUUGUCAAAUUCUGGCAUACCAAAAAAAAAAGCUUACUCAGUCAAAAUUGUUAGCAAAAAACAGCUGUUGAAAUCUGACCUAUAGAUAUUUGGGGAAAUUUUUCAUCAAAAGGCUUUUUUUUUUUUAGUAGUUGUGACAGUCAUAGCUAUAGCUUCAAUUCUAAAAGAUUAGUGACUAACAGUGACCCUGUUUUCCCUAUCUUUGCCCCCCAAAAGAAAAAGUAUCUUUGGUCUUGUUGCCUUUUAAGUUUAUUAGAUCAUUAACCAAAUCCACACUUUAAAAUUUUUUAUUGCGUGUUUAGAUGGAAUAAACUGAAACGACAUAAGCAUAGAAAAUGAUAAUCCAACGAUUUCUAGGACACUAUGCUAAUUAUAAGAUUACUACUACCAAUAGAAUCUUGAAUUAAAAAAAAGAAUGAAGGUUUUUUGGGGAGGGGUCAUUUUACUAUAUAUCUUUGAGCUUUGUUUUAUCCCAAUCAAUUAUAUUUAAGCUGAACUGGGUUAACUAAUAUAUGGAUGCCCAGCUAUUCCCUAUUUGCAAGGUAUUAUAAAUUUAUUUAUUCAUUUAUUUAUUUAUUUAUUAUAAAUGCGGAAGACCCACUAUUUGUAGAAAAUUGCAAAUAUAAGAAAUCUAAAAAGAUAUUAGCAUUAAAAUCAUCAAUUGUUAUGAAUAAGCACUAUGAGGAGGGGUUUCAAUGGGAGAAAGAAAUGCUACAUGCCUAUCAAAAUGAAUAAAAUAAGGCGGCCAUAAAAUUAAUGCUAGGACAUCCCUUAAACAAGCAAACCCAAGUGAAACUAUUUCAAUUUGGAUAGCUAGGAAGAUCUUACCUGAGGUGUGGGAUUUUGUUUGAGUUAUGCUGGCUUUUUAAUAUUAGUGUUCUUUUUGUGUGUCAGAAGACAGAAAUUUCUAAAAGUUGCCAUAGUUCAUUUUCUUUCUACUCAUUAAUGUCAAUUAGUCAUUGAUUAGAUAGACAAGAUUAGUCAAUCAAGCAAUAGAGAAAUCAUAAAUUACACCUAUAAUCUGCACAGAAAAUGAAACCGACCUUGUGGUAUUUGAGAGACUAUAAAUCUUUUAAGGGUGAUUGAGGAUAAUCACAUGUACAGAAGAAAUAUCAAAACUAACAUAUUUCAAAAAUAUUUUCAAUAAUGAUUUUUUAAAGAACUAAUUCCCUCAAACACAGACUAGUGUUCAUCUCUUAAUAACAAUUUUUAAAGAAUUUUAUGUUACCUGAUAAACACUGACCUUUAGAAGUUCCAAACAGCAACUCCAUGACUUACUACUUCAACAGUGGAUGGUGGUUUCUCCUAUGUUCUCAAAAAUCACUACUUUGUUAUGAUUAUCCCCUUAAAUUUCGUAAUAAAUAACCUUACAGAUCAA